rnacentral:lncRNA from 1 species
AGAUCAGCCUGGCCAACAGACGUGAGUCACUUUUCCCAGCCUGCUUUUUGUUUCUUUAACAAAAACCAAUAGGGAUUUUUAUAGGUAUUGUGUUGAAUCUGAAUCACAUUGGCUUAUAUAAUAACUUAACAAUAUGACCCAGGCCCCGCCCACCUCCUCGGGGGUCUCCCGCAGGUCUGGCUUCUGUACUGUGCUGAUUGGCACAGACCCGGAAGCUGAUGGCAUGGACUGAAGGUUGCCCCGUUGAGUUUGCUCUUCCCAGUUCUCUGGUACUGCUAUACCGGGGACGUGAGUGUCCCCACAGACCUGGAAAUUCCGGCCCCUCUUUCUCAACUCAGAGCAAAUUGAGACGCCCAGGUGGGAGUCCGUGAGUCUUUUCCUUUUGAGUUUAAAGUCGCCCUGAGGCUGGUCCCGUCCCCGUCUUUUCUGCAGUGGGGCCGUGCAGACACCUCCUGUCGCGAAACUUUCCUUCUCAAAACCCUUCCCGACCUGUCCUCCCACCUCGCGCUGUUUCAGGUCAUCACCAGCGAGCCGGACUCUCGCCCAGGGCUCCUCCCAGCCUUGCUCUCAUCGGUGCCUGGAGGGCAGCGCUGCAGCCC